UACGUAGGGACCAAGCGUUGUUCGGAUUUACUGGGCGUAAAGGGCGCGUAGGCGGCUUAACAAGUCACUUGUGAAAUCUCUGGGCUUAACCCAGAACGGCCAAGUGAAACUGUUAUGCUAGAGUGCAGAAGGGGCAAUCGGAAUUCCUGGUGUAGCGGUGAAAUGCGCAGAUAUCAGGAGGAACACCGGUGGCGAAGGCGGGUCUCUGGGCCGAUACUGACGCUGAGGAGCGAAAGCGUGGGGAGCGAACAGG
rnacentral:rRNA from 1 species